rfam:Myotis brandtii contig150985, whole genome shotgun sequence.
GGCGGUCCUCGGUUGACACACCCUGGAAUCAGGCUCCCUCCUCUCUUAUUCUGGGGUUUGUCACCCGAUAACCUCC